GUGCUGUGGGUUGCCUCUGUGUUGAUCGAUGGAGACUGGUUUGUUUGCUGUAAGAACAAUCAGUCUGAAGAACAGAUGAAGUUAGCCUGCAAAGCCAAAAACAACAUCACAGCUGAGGAACAAGUAAUCAUUGCUGAACUGAAAAACGAGUCAGAGAUUAUUGGCUUCUCAAUUCUCUUAGCCAUCAUAUUUCUUGCGGUCCUGCUGUCUCUUAUUGAAUGGAGGAAAUGCUGUGAAGGAAUACCAUUCUGUUGUGACAGAAACUUUCUGUAUGACAAACUGAUUGUGGAAGAAGAGGACAGUGUACGUAAAGAGAUUGUCAGAGAAAAAGCGAAACAACACUUGACUGCAGCAGUUAAUAAAAAAAUAGUAGAUGAUGAGGACUAUAUUGAUGUUGCUGACCAACUGAUCACCAAGGGCCUUCAUAGAAACAACAUGGAACAUCAACAACAACAACAACAACAACAACAGGAGCAACAACAACAACAGGGGCAACAACAACUGGAGCAACAACAACAACAGGGGCAACAACCACAACAUGAGGGGCAACAACAACAGGAGCAACAACAACAGGAGCAACAACAACAGGAGCAACAACAACAGGGGCAACAACAACAGCAGCAACAACAACAGGGGCAACAACAACAGGAACAACAACAACAGGGGCAACAACAACAGCAGCAACAACAACAGGGGCAACAACAACAGGAGCAACAACAACGACAGGGGCAACAACAACAGCAGCAACAACAACAGGGGCAACAACAACAGGAACAACAACGACAGGGGCAACAACAACAGGGGCAACAACAACAGGGGCAACAACAACAGCAGCAACAACAACAGCAGCAACUACAACAACAGGAGGAGGAACAGCCACAACAACAGGGGCAACAACAACAACAACAGGAGCAACAGGAACACAGUCAGGCAGAGGGAAGCAAUUCCACUCAAUAAAGGGAGACAAAGAAGACAGAGAAUAUGGGAGCUGUAAGAACUUUGGUAAAGUGCGGGAGUGCCACCAGUUGAAGGAGCUGAGAAACAGAGAAGAAACCAGUUCAGAUGAAACAAAGCCUCUCCUACCACGUGACAGAAAUCCAAGGGUCUGAUGAUGAUUCAACUCCUUCAUAAAACUCCUGACAGUCAACAGUUAUAUUACUGAUUUAUCACAUAUAUUGUAUUUGUUACAACUGUUUCUUUGUUCACAUUUAAAUGUAAUAAUUUCCUAAUAAUAAUCCCAAUCAAUAAUCUUUCUCCUCAGUUUUGAUGUUAUUCUCGUCUUUUUCUAGAACAUAAUAAUCAAGUGAUUUUUAACUUUUUCUGUUAGCAUAACAAGAUAGACAUAGGAACUGAUCUAGAAUUUUCUUUUAUUCUAAAUCUAAAUCUAACUUCACAUACUGUACUGUGUAAAUCAUCUGAAGCAGGGUUGAUAUUUAGACGUCUCUGUAUGCUGACGCCACACCUCAGUAUCAUUUCCAGUCUUAUGGAAAUAAAACAAAUGCAUCAGAGGUCAAAGCUGUGUUUUACACUGUGUUUGUGAACGCUGCAUUGUCACUGUUAAUGUCCUAAUCUAAUAUAAACUGUCUUUGUUGCAAAAUGCAUUUUUACUUUAGAACUAGAGAAAUAAAGAGAUUGACAAUAACACUUCUGACUGGCAUAUACACAGUAUCUGAGGAUAUAUUUUAUUUCUAAUAAGGAUCUCUUUAACUUGGUUCUUAAAGAAUAGUAACUAUGAAUGUGGAGCUAAUAAUUAAGUUAGCGCCCUCUGGUGGCCAAACUCUGUAAUGAAACACUGUUUUAUAAAUGAACUCAAUCAUAUACAGAUUAUUAAUGACUUGUCUAAGAACUGCGAGCAAUUAAACUCAUGAUUUUACUUUCUUAUAGCUUUAAUGAGUCAAAACUUACAUUAUAUAACUGGGUGUGUAAUUAUACAUUACUUUGUGUGUUUUCUCAUAUUAUUUUAUCAUUAUACACAAUAAAAAAACUUUAAAUGCA